UACGUAGGGUGCAAGCGUUAAUCUGAAUUACUGGGCGUAAAGCGUGCGCAGGCGGUUAUGUAAGACCGAUGUGAAAUCCCCGGGCUCAACCUGGGAACUGCAUUUGUGACUGCACAGCUGGAGUGCGGCAGAGGGGGGUGGAAUUCCACGUGUAGCAGUGAAAUGCGUAGAUAUGUGGAGGAACACCGAUGGCGAAGGCAGCCCCCUGGGAUGUGACUGACGCUCAUGUACGAAAGCGUGGGGAGCAAACAGG
rnacentral:rRNA from 1 species